GGCUGAUAGAGUUUCGAAUUGUCGCCAAUGGCAAAGGGCGAAACUUACAAAGAGCUGCUGUUGCAGGAAGUUCAAAUCAAACUUUGCGGCGUGUAAGAACAUCUCAGCCAGUCCUUGUAAACCCUUCCGAUCGCAAUGGAUCCCUCUCCAGUUCUUCGUGUACAAAGUCAGAAUAACAUUGGCACUGGCUUUCUGAGGAUAAACAAUGAAAAUAAGAAAAUGGCAGUCGACCCGAAGAAUUCCAACCUUGUGCCAGUACAGCACCUUCCUCACAAGGAUUCUGAGAACCAAGAUCCAAGAAGCUCAAAAAGGAGCAGGCUUCCUGUGCUUGUCAGAACCCUCCGACCUGCAGCAUCCGACUUCAGGCAGUGGGAGGACAAAGCCUUGACUGGGAAAGCCAAGAAGAAAAAGUCACGGACCAGACCCAUACCCUUCAUCACGGCCAAGCACAACACAGAUGUUGUGGCAAUGCAGCCAACGACUGUUGUACAGUCAGCAAGCGGCGCUGGCGGCAUCCAGCUUGGAAACAGUGUCCGUGUAAAACCCCCAAACAUAACUGCCAAACACUCUAAAUGUUCAGCUGAGUUAAAAAGCACAGUAGACUCCAACAAGGGGGAGCUUGGGCGUCAUGGAUUGGCUGAGGUUCCAUUAGGACAGCGUAGCCAUUCUGGCACAACAAAUGUCACACAUCACAGCAGUACCUCUUUGGGUGUACCUUCUUCCGUCAGUGUGGAUGUCUGUUCGGAUAGUAUGACCGCUCUCAGUCUCAAAGGUCCAACCAAGAUAUGCCAUUGGAGCCACUGCAUGCAGGACUGUGGCAAAACGGAGAAAUUCCGGUCCAAUCACACUGCUUUGCUAAGUAUCCUGCAUAAAGGGAGCAUGCACGUGCAGCCGUCUCCAGCUCCACAGUCUAAACCUUCCCUAAACCUUCCCCAGCGAGUGUCUGUUGCAAAGACUCAUCAAACGGCUCCACCCACCACAGUGAAGUCAGUGGCCUUCUCUCCUGACCCCUGUGCCCUGAGAAGCAUCCUACAGAAUGAGGGCGUGAAGGCUGCAGGGCCCAUGGGUGCCACCCCUCUACACUCAUCUGGCAGACACACUUCUAUCUACACAGCACAGAGAGUUCCAGUUCGAAAAAAUCUGACAGAGACUCGUAAGGGAGCAGUAACGGAGGAUGAGAACCUAUGGACACCACAGAGAAUCUGCAACACUGAACAGCCUAUAUCUGCCAAGGCACGAAUAGUUCCAGUUAGCAAACAUCUGGCAGAGACGGCUCAGGGAACACUCGCAGAAGCGGACAAACUAUGGACACCACAGAGAGUUCCCAACACCAGACAUCAACCUCUAUCUUCCAAGAUAUUUCACACAAAUAGAACUCCCAGGCUGAGGCGCUGUGAAACCAACCAACCCCACCAGAAGGAUGUUGUCCAAAGAUUAUUUGUAGACCACGAGGAUGGGCAAAGCGCUGACAAAGAGCAUCUCCCAGUUGAAGCCUGGCCUAUUCAAACCCACUGUGAAAAAGUGGAGAGCAUCACCACGUGUAGUGAGGAGAAGCAGCUGAGAGAAACUAAGCCUUUUAUACCAACACUGCAAAGAGAGUCUGUUAUUUUUUUUUCUACUGGUAAAAAAAUAAUCCAAACCGCACGUUUUGAGAAGCAUCAGGAGCGACAUGGUUGGGCUCCACCAGAACUGGGAGAAAAGCCCAUGAAUCAGAUGAGCCCAGUCAAGCUCAUAAUGCAGAGAGACAACGAGACCUGUGGCACAAAGACUGCAGUUGCACUGCUGCGCAAGUGUCUUCCUCCCGUGGAGGAGCUACGAUUGGACGACGAGGUUUCUUUCUACAUCUCUCCUUCCGCCUCGGGUGAUGCUGCGUUCCCCCACCUUCGACCCGACUGCCGAAACCCAGUGGCGUUUCUUUUGCACUUUGAAGAAUCUAUUGUCAUGUGACAGUUGUUCUGAAGCUACCAUGGUGCUACUCUACAGAGAAGAUGCAACUUUCCAUUGGCCACCUUAAAUACCCUUUCUAUGAUUGGCUUCACUUGUGUAUGCAGAGAUUUGUUCCACUGGGCUGCGAUGCCUCCCCAUGCUUGUCACCUGGAUACAAGUGAAGGUUGCCAGCCAACAGUCUUUAUUUUUUUUAAUACGGUACUGCCCCCAGAAGCCCAAACCUCUGACUUUGUUGUCAUUCGUCUUUCAUUUUAGUCAUUUUGGAUAAAGGAGUAGUAUAGUACAGUACAUUUACAUAACAUGUAUGUAAAUAUGUAAGAUUGUGUAUUAAAGUGUAGAACCUACUGUAAAUAAAGACAUGACAGAAUUCUAGUAUUUGCAGCUUUGAACCCCCCCCCCCCCGCCCAGUACCACCAAUGGGGUGUUUGUACAGGUCAUCUCAGUGUGGAGUUUGUUUUUUUUAAAGAUUGUUACAUGUACAUUGGUCACCUGAUCCAAGUCUGAGGUCUGGUUCCUGGACGACCAGUCUACCUCCUGAUCCUGUGUGGAUGUUGAUUUUUCACUCUGAUAUGAAA